rnacentral:tRNA from 1 species
GUUCUUGUAGUUAAAUUUCAAUAACAGUGGCGUUUCAGGUCACAGUUCCUGGAGAAGGGCCGGGCGAGAAUU